GAUGAACGCUAGCGGCAGGCCUAAUACAUGCAAGUCGAACGAUACUUUCCAGCUUGCUGGAGAGGAAAGUGGCGCACGGGUGCGUAACGCGUAUGCAACCUACCUUAAUCAGGGGGAUAGCCCGAAGAAAUUCGGAUUAACACCGCAUAAAAUCACAGUACAGCAUUGUACAAUGAUCAAAUAUUUAUAGGAUUAAGAUGGGCAUGCGUGACAUUAGUUAGUUGGCGGGGUAACGGCCCACCAAGACCACGAUGUCUAGGGGAUCUGAGAGGAUGACCCCCCACACUGGUACUGAGGCACGGACCAGACUCCUACGGGAGGCAGCAGUAAGGAAUAUUGGUCAAUGGAGGCAACUCUGAACCAGCCAUGCCGCGUGCAGGAAGACAGCCCUCUGGGUCGUAAACUGCUUUUAUUCGGGAAUAAACCUACUUACGUGUAAGUAGCUGAAUGUACCGAAGGAAUAAGGAUCGGCUAACUCCGUGCCAGCAGCCGCGGUAAUACGGAGGAUCCAAGCGUUAUCCGGAUUUAUUGGGUUUAAAGGGUGCGUAGGCGGCUUUUUAAGUCAGGGGUGAAAGACGGUAGCUCAACUAUCGCAGUGCCCUUGAUACUGAAGAGCUUGAAUGGACUAGAGGUAGGCGGAAUGUGACAAGUAGCGGUGAAAUGCAUAGAUAUGUCACAGAACACCGAUUGCGAAGGCAGCUUACUAUGGUUUUAUUGACGCUGAGGCACGAAAGCGUGGGGAUCAAACAGGAUUAGAUACCCUGGUAGUCCACGCCCUAAACGAUGAAUACUCGCUGUUAGCGAUACACAGUUAGCGGCUAAGCGAAAGCGUUAAGUAUUCCACCUGGGGAGUACGGUCGCAAGAUUGAAACUCAAAGGAAUUGACGGGGGCCCGCACAAGCGGAGGAGCAUGUGGUUUAAUUCGAUGAUACGCGAGGAACCUUACCCGGGCUUGAAAGUUAGUGAAUCAUUUAGAGAUAGAUGAGUCCGCAAGGACACGAAACUAGGUGCUGCAUGGCUGUCGUCAGCUCGUGCCGUGAGGUGUUGGGUUAAGUCCCGCAACGAGCGCAACCCCUAUGUUUAGUUGCCAGCACGUAAUGGUGGGGACUCUAAACAGACUGCCUGUGCAAACAGAGAGGAAGGAGGGGACGACGUCAAGUCAUCAUGGCCCUUACGUCCGGGGCUACACACGUGCUACAAUGGAUGGUACAGAGGGCAGCAAGCUGGCAACAGCAAGCAAAUCUCCAAAAGCCAUUCACAGUUCGGAUAGGGGUCUGCAACUCGACCUCUUGAAGUUGGAUUCGCUAGUAAUCGUAUAUCAGCAAUGAUACGGUGAAUACGUUCCCGGGCCU
rnacentral:rRNA from 1 species